rnacentral:rRNA from 1 species
ACGGGUGAGUAACGCGUAAGAACUUGCCCUUUAGACUGGGAUAACAGAGGGAAACUUCUGAUAAUACUGGAUAAGUUAGUAUAUCGCAUGAUAUGCAAAUGAAAGCUACGGCACUAAAGGAGAGCUUUGCGUCCUAUUAGCUAGUUGGUAAGGUAAGAGCUUACCAAGGCGAUGAUAGGUAGCCGGCCUGAGAGGGUGGACGGCCACAAGGGGACUGAGAUACGGCCCUUACUCCUACGGGAGGCAGCAGU